rnacentral:tRNA from 1 species
UCCCCGAUAGCUCAACUGGCAGAGCGAGCGGCUGUUAACCGCUAGGUUGCAGGUUCGACUCCUGCUCGGGGAG